rnacentral:rRNA from 1 species
UACGUAGGGUGCAAGCGUUGUCCGGAAUUAUUGGGCGUAAAGAGCUCGUAGGCGGUUUGUUGCGUCGGCUGUGAAAUCCCGAGGCUCAACCUCGGGUCUGCAGUCGAUACGAGCAAACUAGAGUGUUGCAGGGGAGACUGGGAAUUCCUGGUGUAGCGGUGAAAUGCGCAGAUAUCAGGAGGAACACCGGUGGCGAAGGCGGGUCUCUGGGCAACAACUGACGCUGGAGGAGCGAAAGCGUGGGGAGCGAACAGGAUUAG